rnacentral:lncRNA from 1 species
UUUAGACGUAAAUCUGCGUUUAGACGUAAAUCUGCGUUUAGACGUAAAACUGCGUUUAGACGUAAAUCUGCAUUUAGACGUAAAACUGCGUUUAGACGUAAAUCUGAGUUUAGACGUAAAUCUGCGUUUAGACGUAAAACUGUGUUUAGACGUAAAUCUACGUUUAGACGUAAAACUGCGUUUAGACGUAAAUCUGAGUUUAGACGUAAAUCUGCGUUUAGACGUAAACUGCGCUUAGACGCAAAACUGCGCUUAGACGCAAACUGUGUUUAGACGCAAACUGCGCUUAGACGCAAACUGCGCUUAGACGUAAACUGUGUUUAGAUGCAAACUGCGCUUAGACGCAAUCUGCGCUUAGACGCAAAC